rnacentral:snRNA from 1 species
GCUCUCACUUCAGCAGCACAUAUACUAAAACUGGAACAAUAGGAGAUUAGCAUGGCCCCUGCACAAGGAUGACACACAAAUUCGUAAAGUUUUCCAUACUUAA